GACAGAGGUGCCGAGCGUUAGGCGGAAUCACUGGGCUUAAAGCGUGUGUAGGCGGAUGGGUAAGUACCUUGUGAAAUCCCACGGCUCAACCGUGGAACUGCUUGGUAUACUGCGGGUCUUGAGCCACCUAGGGGCAAGUGGAACAAACGGUGGAGCGGUGAAAUGCGUAGAUAUCAAGAGGAACACCUGAGGUGAAGACGGGUUGCUGGGCUGACACUGACGCUGAGGCGCGAAAGCUAGGGUAGCAAACGGG
rnacentral:rRNA from 1 species